CCGCCGCGGGCAGCAAUCCAAGAAAGCCUUUUCUUUUCUUUUUUUUCCCUUGAGUCACGGUGGAGGAACUCAGAAGCUCUUUGCUGCAGCCCAGUGGCCGCCGGCGGAACCUGACGGGGCUCGGAGGCCCGGGCGGGACAGGGCCAGGCCGUGAGCGUGCCCUUUAUCCCCCACAGCCGUGAGUUUGGGGGCAUCUGUCCCCCUUCGCAGGAUGAAGGCUGGUAACCCCAGUGUUAACCUCUGCAGAACUUAGAGGCAACAUCAAGUUAAAAGGAGGAGACCAGCUUCCCUCUCCACAUGCUCCCAGCAUGAUCCACUGCCCUACCACAGUACUGAAAGCAACACAACCAACUAUUCU
rnacentral:lncRNA from 1 species